UGCCCCCGACCCGCAUGGCUAUCCUUACGUUCUGAUGCUAUGAAAUAUUAAUGAUUCGAGAGAUUACGAGGCAUUCAUUAGAUGCUAAAUGUCAUUACUCCGUGAUUUAAUGGGACUUAUUAAUUAGCGCCCCACAUCAAUCGGCAUUAAGGUGAUUUAUCUGCCUCCGAUGGAAUGGCAUCUGUGAAGGUGGCGUGAGACGCUGCUGCCUUGCUCGUUUUCCUGGCUGUUCCUGCUCACCAUCUUCAGGGGGUCUUUUUCUAUGGAAGAGCAUUACCUCUUCCGAGAUAUUCGGUUCACAGAUAGAUCCCGUAAGCAAAUCUUGGUCAUAUCAGAACCCCAUGUCCUUUUCUGUUGACCUGACAAUGUGAAUUAUUGCUUGGAUUUUCUCACAGCUUCAGCAAGAACUGUGGUGAGCUCUGGGUCUAAUUAAGGAAGACAAAGAAUUACAAUUUUAGUGUUUUUCUCACCAUCAGCUUUCCCUUAACAGGAAACACUAAACCCAGUAGAGGCAGCUUUAUCAGGAUUUAUGAAAAAUGAUGGGACUUAGAAGGUUUCUUUUAUUUAUAUUCUGUAAUAGGUGUAAGAUCAUAGAUCUUUCCAGAUAGACUGAGUCCUUUUAACUGUGCGUCCAGUAGGCAUUCAAAAUUAACUUAGGAUGCCCUGGGUCUUUUUAUAUUUUUUCUUUAAACGAAAAAGUAUCUCAAGGUAGUUACUACGAAUCUGGAGAGUCUCAGAGAUUGCCAGCCCUUUAGUGUGUCUUCAUUCCUUUAUCAUGUCCUCACCUGAGGUACUCCAAGACACAAAUACUCAGCCAUGUUUCAUAGUCACAUGAUCAUCGUCACAAUACCCCUCUCCCCAAGUGAAGGAAGACAGCAGGAAACCUUCUCAGUCGCUGCUCUGGGACUUAAAAGAACAUAGUGUUCUGCCUCCUUUCCCUAGCUGGAACUCUUUGAUCACACUCUUCUUAGAAACUAGCAUCAUCCUUGGGGUCCAUUGACGUCUCUGUUUAAAAUCAAGCUCAGCAUAUAAUCUAAAGGUUACUCCAUGAUGGAUUGCCUUUGACAGUGUUUCAUAAAAAAUGUCACACAUUACAAAUAUGGGCCAGCAGUGUGUAAUGAGAGCGCUGCCUCUGCUGGUUCUGCAUUAACGGCGUCGGAGGAAAGUGACGUGUGAUGUGUGUCCUGGCUUUGCUACAGCAGCUGCACAUUGCCUCGUCCCCGUUUUCAACAUUCCGCUGUUGGAUAUUUCCAGUGAUGAAUUAUCAGCCACCAACCACUGCUGCUAGGGAGUGAGGAAUGCAGAGAUGAGAAAACAGUUCCUAUCUUCACCUUGUUUCCAACCUGGUAGCAAGAAAAACAGAAACAAAAACAAAACCCCUUGCACAGAACUAGAUGCAAGUGCUGCUGCAGAUAUGUAAACAAAGUGUUUCGGGAAGGUGAACAGUAGAAAGACUAACUGCCUGGGGACGGGGACGCAGGUGGGCUGCGGAGAGGCAACUGAGUUAGUUCUCCAAGGAUGGAUUCCAUUUCGCCAAGAAAAUAAUAUCAGCGAUAUUAGCAUUGCGUUCAGGCUGGAUACAGAGGGGUGGAACUAGGAAGCUAAGCCAGAAGACAGUUCCAGAUCAAGUGCCCCAGUGCAUCCUUCACAAAACAGCCAUGUCUCGAAGCGACAGACAGAAAUCUGGAGGAUUUCCACCUGGGAAUUUCACUGCAUUGAACUCGCCGUGUCCAAACCUCAAGCUUGUCUUUCCCCACGUUAUAGCUGCCCCUCCCAACCUCUCUUUCUCUCCUCCUGACAAUUCACAUAAGCCACUUAAAUUCAGUAUUUCAGAACUUUCCAGGUUGUUCAGCUUUUUCCUUUGAAGUGUCAAUUUCAUGGAUCCUUAUCUAUUGCCACAGCUGUAUCACCUCACCUCUGGAUUGGCCUAACAGUGCCCUCCUUGGUGCCCAGCACUUCCCGCAGUCACCACAGGUACUGUUGCCAGCGCAUCUCCUCGGCGUCUCUUUCUUUCUGUCACCUUCCAUUUCCUACUUUUUAGGAUAGAGAGAAUAAUUCGCUACAUUCCCUAGAGUCCCUCAUUUGUUGCUGAUAAGUGUUCCCACAGCAUUUAAAUGUCCCAACUGAUAUAUUGGCCAUGUUUAAAUAUUUAGAGAGCAAAACACUUUUGCCUUCCUCAAACACGUUUGUCAUAAUAUCUGAGUGCCAUAUGACAUAGAUCAAAUUUAUUAUUAGAGUCAGAAGUUCUUACACAGACAUUUCCUUAUAAAAAGGUCUACACACACACACACACACACACACACACACUCCUCCACAUAUUCCAGAACUAUGAUGCAAUGACAAUGAUUUAUUGACACAUCAAUGCUAAUCUAAGACCACUGGCCAUAAAAAUUCUAAGAGACUUUCACCUUUCUGUAAUAGUGCCUAGAUUCCAAGCACCACCCUUCCUUAUUUUGAACACUUGGGUUAAGCCCGUGUCAUUUAACCAAAACUAG